rnacentral:rRNA from 1 species
GACGAACGCUGGCGGCGUGCUUAACACAUGCAAGUCGAACGGAAAGGCCCUUCGGGGUACUCGAGUGGCGAACGGGUGAGUAACACGUGGGUGAUCUGCCCUGCACUUUGGGAUAAGCCUGGGAAACUGGGUCUAAUACCGAAUAGGACCACGCGCUUCAUGGUGUGUGGUGGAAAGCUUUUGCGGUGUGGGAUGGGCCCGCGGCCUAUCAGCUUGUUGGUGGGGUAAUGGCCUACCAAGGCGACGACGGGUGGCCGGCCUGAGAGGGUGACCGGCCACACUGGGACUGAGAUACGGCCCAGACUCCUACGGGAGGCAGCAGUGGGGAAUAUUGCACAAUGGGCGCAAGCCUGAUGCAGCGACGCCGCGUGAGGGAUGACGGCCUUCGGGUUGUAAACCUCUUUCAAUAGGGACGAAGCGCAAGUGACGGUACCUAUAGAAGAAGCACCGGCCAACUACGUGCCAGCAGCCGCGGUAAUACGUAGGGUGCGAGCGUUGUCCGGAAUUACUGGGCGUAAAGAGCUCGUAGGUGGUUUGUCGCGUUGUUCGUGAAAACUCACAGCUUAACUGUGGGCGUGCGGGCGAUACGGGCAGACUAGAGUACUGCAGGGGAGACUGGAAUUCCUGGUGUAGCGGUGGAAUGCGCAGAUAUCAGGAGGAACACCGGUGGCGAAGGCGGGUCUCUGGGCAGUAACUGACGCUGAGGAGCGAAAGCGUGGGGAGCGAACAGGAUUAGAUACCCUGGUAGUCCACGCCGUAAACGGUGGGUACUAGGUGUGGGUUCCUUCCUUGGGAUCCGUGCCGUAGCUAACGCAUUAAGUACCCCGCCUGGGGAGUACGGCCGCAAGGCUAAAACUCAAAGGAAUUGACGGGGGCCCGCACAAGCGGCGGAGCAUGUGGAUUAAUUCGAUGCAACGCGAAGAACCUUACCUGGGUUUGACAUGCACAGGACGCCGGCAGAGAUGUCGGUUCCCUUGUGGCCUGUGUGCAGGUGGUGCAUGGCUGUCGUCAGCUCGUGUCGUGAAAUGUUGGGUUAAGUCCCGCAACGAGCGCAACCCUUGUCCUAUGUUGCCAGCGGGUUAUGCCGGGGACUCGUAGGAGACUGCCGGGGUCAACUCGGAGGAAGGUGGGGAUGACGUCAAGUCAUCAUGCCCCUUAUGUCCAGGGCUUCACACAUGCUACAAUGGCCGGUACAAAGGGCUGCGAUGCCGUGAGGUGGAGCGAAUCCUUUCAAAGCCGGUCUCAGUUCGGAUCGGGGUCUGCAACUCGACCCCGUGAAGUCGGAGUCGCUAGUAAUCGCAGAUCAGCAACGCUGCGGUGAAUACGUUCCCGGGCCU